rnacentral:piRNA from 1 species
CUCUUUAAUUGUUGAUGUAGU